GGUAGCCUUUUUUGAGGUUUUUGAGGACUUUGCUGAUUUUUGAAGCUUUUCCAAAACUUCUUUUGCAGCCGUUUGGUAAGUUAAACUUUUAAAACUUUUUUGGGGGUUUUUGGAUUUUGGGUUGGGGUGUGUGGAAUUCAAGGACGUGGUGUUGGGGAGAGGUUUGCAAGAAUCUGGGAGCUUGUGUGGGUUUUUCCUGCAUUUUUAUGAUUUUUUGUAACCAUUGGGGCACUCUGCUGGUUUUUUUUUAAAAAAUUCUGGGUUUGAAUUUCUGUGUGGUGGGUGGCUGGGGGAACAGUUGAGGAGGGGUUUGCAAGAAUCUGGGAGCUUGUGUGGUUUUUUUUGAAUUUUUAUGAUUUUCUGUGACCAUUGGGGCACUCUGCUGGUUUUUUUUAAAAAAAAUUCUGGGUUUGAAUUUCUGUGUGGUGGGUGGCUGGGGGAACAGUUGAGGAGGGGUUUGCAAGAAUCUGGGAGCUUGUGUGGUUUUUUUUUGAAUUUUUAUGAUUUUCUGUGACCAUUGGGCCAUCUUGUUUUUUUUCAAAAAAAAUUUCUGAGUUUGAAUUUCUGUGUGGUGGGUGGCUGGGGGAACAGUUGGGGAGGGGUUUGCAACAGUUGGGGAGGGGUUUGCAACAGUUGGGGAGGGGUUUGCAAUUUCUGUGUGGUGGGUGGGUGGCUGGGGGACAGUUGAGGUUUUUGAAGACUUUGGUGAUUUUUAAAGCUUUCCCAAAACUUCUUUGCAGCCAUUUGAGGAUUUUGAAGACUUUGGUGAUUUGCAGCCAUUUCGUAAGUUAAACUUUUAAAACUUUUUUUGGGGGUUUUUGGAUUUUGGGUUGGGUGUUUGGAAUUCAAGGACUUGGUUCUGGGUUUGAGUUCCUGUGUGGUGGGUGGCUGGGUGCUUUUGAAUUUUUUGGGUGUGAAG